GGCGGCGUGCCUAACACAUGCAAGUCGAACGAGGUCCAGUCUGUAGCAAUACAGAUGAAGACCUAGUGGCGAACGGGUGAGUAGCACGUGAGCAACCUGCCCCGAAGACCGGGACAACACCGGGAAACCGGUGCUAAUACCGGAUAUCCCCACCGAGUCGCAUGGCUUGGUGAGGAAAUGGAUUCCGCUUUGGGAGGGGCUCGCGGCCUAUCAGCUUGUUGGUGAGGUAACGGCUCACCAAGGCGUCGACGGGUAGCUGGUCUGAGAGGACGAUCAGCCACACUGGGACUGAGACACGGCCCAGACUCCUACGGGAGGCAGCAGUGGGGAAUCUUGCACAAUGGGCGAAAGCCUGAUGCAGCAACGCCGCGUGAGGGACGAAGGCUUUCUGAGUUGUAAACCUCUUUCAGCAGGGACGAUUGUGACGGUACCUGCAGAAGAAGCCCCGGCCAACUACGUGCCAGCAGCCGCGGUAAUACGUAGGGGGCAAGCGUUGUCCGGAUUUAUUGGGCGUAAAGA
rnacentral:rRNA from 1 species